GUCUAAUUGAAAUCUUAUACAUUGUAUAUAUCUAAACAUUACAUAGUAGUUUAUAUACAUAGUUUCUGUUUGUAAAAGUAUCAGUUAAAAGACAAAUGUAAUGACUUUUAUGUAUGAGUUAAAAAUAAAUGUACAUAGUAGGAAAGAAAGUCUAGCUCAGGUCCAAUAGGUGUAAACUUUAAGGACACCAUGUUAAGGGAAAUGAGCCAAGCAGAAAAUGGCAGACACUGUUUGAGUCUACUUGACGGGCAGAGAAAUGUCAUAUUCAUCCAGACAGAGGUGAAAUGGUGGCUGCUUGGGGCUGGGGAGGAAUUAAUAGUUAUGACUGAAUGGAUAAGAUGAAAUGUUCUGCAGGGAUGGGAGCAACUUCCACACAGCAUGAAGAAGGCAUUUUUACCCACUAACCUCCCAGAUGGAAAUGACUCAGAUGGUCAUUCUGAAUGGAUAAAGAAAAUGUGGUACAGCUACACAAUGGAAUUCUAUUCAGCUAUUAAAAACAAAGACAUCGUGAAUUUUGCAGGCAAAUGGAUGGACCUUGAAAAUAUCAUCCUGAGUGAGGACCACAGGUGACCAUGGGUAACUUGAAACCACGGACUGAGAACUACAGAGGAGCAUCCAUUCCCACUGCAAGGCUGUAACCGGACGUUAACAUGCUCAGUGGAGCUGCAGACUGAUAUGUUCACCAGCAACGAGGCCGACACAGCCAGCAUCACUGACAGUUAUCACCACGAAGCCGGGUAUGGUUGUAGAUGUUUGCAAUCCCCGGCCUGGAGGUGGAGACAAGUGGGUCCCUCCAGCUUGUGAGUUAGCCGGUGUAACCCAGUCCUAGCCAGCAAGCUCUGAGCCAGGGGACCCCAUCUAGAGUGGAGUGAGCAACUCCUAAGAUAUGAUACUCCGGCCUCCGUACAAAUGGAAAGGAACAUGCAUGCACCUGUGAACACGCACAUAUCCUUACACACAUACGCACCUGCACUGCACUUCCUACUCGUGUCUGAUGCUCAGCCUCUGACCCAGCAAAGCGGGGUUGUGUUGUGCAAGCACGCCAGAGGCUACUGAGAACACAGUUGUGACACUGCACUCCACCCCUGCCUUUGAGAGCGGGACGUAGCAACUGCUCCAGAGUUCCCGAAGUCCACGGUCAGCUUGUGCACAGGAAUUAGAAUCCAUCUUGCUCCUUGUACAACUGACAAGGGGCAACAGCACAUCGCACAUGUUGCUCCAGAGGAGGCUGCAUCCAUAGAGAUGUCACAGCAUCUAAAUGGAGUUCAGACCCCUUAUCUAAACGCUCGCCGUCCCAGAAGUUGGUACAGCCUUUUGAGUGUUUCAGAUUUGGGAAUAUUUGCUGAGGUUUACCUUGUGGUUAUGACCCAAGUUUAAAUGAAAAAGCCAUCCUCUGUAUGGGACUACACGAACUCUAGAAACACUCUUCUCUGCAUAUAGUUCUAUUUGGUAUUUAGAAGACUUUUGUGUAUGACGUGAGAUUUCCAUACAGGAAGAGAGCAGGAAUUUUCCACUUGCAACAAACAUCGUGUUACUCCGAAAGUUUCAGGUUUUGAACCAUUCGGAAGAGGGAUGCUCAGCCUAUAGGUUGAUCUCAUUGUCUUGAAAGAAUAUUAAAAAUAAUAAGUUCAUAUAUAUUCAUAUAAAACAUGGGUUUGAAAACUCCCAUAGAGGAAAAAAAAAAGGAAGGUUACAUACACAAGCUGACGAUAUCUGCCUAUGCAGGGGUUAAAUGGGGACAAGGGGGAAGUUUUCUUGGCUAUUUAUUUCUACACUUCUAAUUUUUAUAAUUAUUGCAUAUUAGUUUCGUAACCAGAAAAAGUAAGAGGAGAGAAAAAAAACCUGCUUGUACAAAAUGAAAG